rnacentral:lncRNA from 1 species
CCUCUUUUUCGAUGCUUGAUUACGAUUAUUAAAUUGCACAGCAAUUUUCUUCCCUGGAGGCAAUUUCCAAAUAUCUUUUAAUAGUGUAGGACCACAAACCUUCCUAGCUUCUGAAUUGACUAACAUUAAAAAAAAAAUUGAAUGUCAUAAAAUUCAUAUACAGAAUAUCCAUUUUCAUACCUAAAUAUUAUACCCUUGAAAUGGCAUUUCUAUUUCAAUUUCUCUUAAAAAAUUGCAAACUAAAAGGAGCUGCAUUGACUAACUUCAUUGAGUUUAUAACAAACUUGUAAUGAUAAAGCAAAGAGUAAUAAUCUUUGUAUUAAGAAACUGGAAGAUUUAGUAACAAGUGUUACCUGAUUCUUCAUUCUCUUGAACUUCAUUGCUAGAAGAACUAUACAGUUCAGUAGAUUGAUUAUCAUGUGAUUGGGUAUGAGAGUGGUUCUGACCAUCCAUCAAUUGCCCAAUAUAAGGUCGUACACUUUCAUAAUCAUGUUGUUCAAUUACCAAACUUUUGCCACCUCUGGUCCGUAUAGUUCCUUCGCCAAAUUGAAGUAGUUAACUAACUACAUUCAGUUGUACUAGUACCAGAUUAACUCCAAUGGAUCUACCGGCACAUAAGCAUGAUCCACAUCUCAAGCUAUUAAAAAAUAUAUAAACCGCGAUUUGUGUACAAAAAAUAUACAAAAACAAAGCCUUAAUGCAAAGAUAGUCCUCGAGUUAAGAGGUAUUGGUGCACCAGAAAAUAUAUAUUAUUAUCCAGUGGUAGAAACACCUUAGCAUCUCAUAAUCCAAGAGCUAUAGCAGCAAAACAAGUAACAAUAAGCAUAGAAAACUCACAAAAAU